CCGUCUGAGAGUUGAUGCAGCUGAAGUUUUUUUUUUUCCUAACCCAUUGUUUGCUUCUCUCUUAAUUCUUUCCAUGUGGAUUGGGAUUUCAGGUUUCUUUUGCAGUGACGGUACACUGCUACUUGCUUCACUUUCUAUUGUUAGAGCGUUUCUUGAGGUGAUAUGCACACUUGGAGGUACAGUAUUUGCUGGGAUUUUGCUACUGCGAGUGAUCUGGGCAGCAGUUGCUUACUUUCAGUCAAGUGGAAAUAGCUUUAACCAGGGUGGCAGCUCCUUUGGCGCCGCAGCUUAGAGCUCUCUUUACCACUCCGUAAGCUAAAAACCUCGCAUUCUUUCCUUCUGUGCUACUUGGUUACAGGCUAGAGGCCAUCAUAUCAUGUACUAUAUAUUGUAUAUCAAAUCUUUUGGGCCAACCAUUAAGAGUCUGUGGAUGUCAUUCGCAUUUUUCAUGUGAACAGUGUAUAUUAGACUUGACAAUUUAAAUUAUUUUUU